UCCCUCUUUGCCGUCGGCCCUGCCCGUAGCUCCGGCUGCUCUGACCUUAAAUAGGCCGUAGGGCGGUGGGGGAGAUGAGUUAAGAGCUGGGAAAACCCGUGUGCGGCCCUGAAGAGUCUUUGGCCGGUGUAAAGGAUGACUUCACUUUUUUCCCCAUCAGAUCGACAAUGUUGAUGUCGUUUAACACUUGCCAGUUAGUUCUGAUACACCGGCCUUGAAAGGCCCGGCCACGUUCUUGCUCGACCAUGGGAAGACAGCGAUUGAUGCCCUUUCUUUGUUGGUUCGCAGGGUAGCGGGAUCAGAGGGUACAGAAUGGAUUUUGGAGGAGGGGGUCGCUGCUGGGCCUCCAAGGGAAGCCCGUGUAGACAUCUACAACCUGCGGUCUCCUGAUCUCUGGGGUUUGCUGUCUGUAGGAAGCAGACUUAUAAUGGGCCAGGAUGAAGCUGGCAGUGCGAAAGGAUUGGUCAGGAGCCAUGAGUGCUGCAGGGCAGUAA